UACGGAGGGUGCGAGCGUUGUCCGGAAUCAUUGGGCGUAAAGGGCGCGUAGGUGGCCCGGUCAGUCCGUGGUGAAAGCGCGGGGCUCAACCCCGCGUCGGCCAUGGAUACUGCUGGGCUGGAGCACUGUAGAGGCAGGCGGAAUUCCGGGUGUAGCGGUGGAAUGCGUAGAGAUCCGGAAGAACACCGGUGGCGAAGGCGGCUCUCUGGGACGGUACUGACGCUGAGACGCGAAAGCGUGGGGAGCGAACAGG
rnacentral:rRNA from 1 species